CGCCCCCACUUCUCCCUAAGGCGAACCAAAGGGUAUCCGCGGGACGCCUGCCCAGCUCUCGCCAGGACUCACUACAAUCCAUCAUUCAAAAGCUCGAAAUACUUUAAGUAACCUCAAUACAUAAUUAAAGUAUUUCAAAUAUCUCACACUUACAAUUAUGCAGCUUUCAAGCUUAAAUACAACCCAACGGAAAAGGGUAUAAUAGCCAUCCGUUAUAAUAUAACUUAAAGUCUCCAAAAGAAAACAAUCUAGUACUACUCACGAGCACCCUUGGUCUCGAACCCUGUAAAAGAAAACCACAACGUGGGAUGAGCUACACAGCCCAGUGAGGUUUCAAGACACUCUAACAGUUCAAAUAAAUCAAGCAAGUUGGGUAUAUCAUAUGCAUGGUUCAAGGUUGUACAGUGGCAUGUUAUCAUGAGGUGAUAAUCAUUGUACGAGUAAUUUGAGACAUUUAUCAUGGUAUGAGACAUUUAUCAUGAGACAGGUAUCAUGGUAUGAGUACAUUGGUCAGGUAACAGGUAUGGAGCAUAUCACAGGCAUAGCUCAGGAUUUCAUGUUGGCAUUUUAGCACGAAACAAUUAUCAUGAUACAAGGUAAACAUAUACGGUAGGAUACGGUGUUCCAGUGGAACUCUGUCGGUCAUCUGCACCUUAUGACUUCCGGAUCCCCUCGGUUUGACUGGCCAUCACCUUAUCCCUCCAGUGGUAAUACUCGAGUAUACCGAAACGGUGGCCCAGGGUUCCAACCUACCCGACCGAGCCCAGUCCUGGCUCGAGUAGGUCAGUAACCAAGGGCAGGGCCCAAGUUCAACUUAGAGCUUACAACAUGCACAGGUAACCAAGUAAUUCGACCAAAGGUAAAAUUCAUCAUUUGAGUAGGUCGAGUGAGGUAAAGUACACACUCGCCUAACAAUGGUGGACAACUUCAUAUAACAUAUGAUUCAUGAUAAUCAAGUAAUCAAGUGGAUACUUAGCACGUAAGCAAUACAAGUUGAUUUCAUAGAAGCAUGUAAUUCACGGAUAUCAAAUAAUCAUGUGGAUUGGAAAUCAUGUGAGCAAAUAGUCAAGUAAUCAGGUAGUCAUGUGGGUUGGUAAACGGUUCACGGUUAACGGUUAACGGUUGACGGUUCACGGUUAAUUGAUCUGCAUUUGCCAUAUUAAUAGGCCAUCAUUGGCCGUUAUCCCAUUUUUAUCAUAUGAGAGUCGAGGAGAUUCACUUCAAUGACUUUAUGUCCAACACUAGGCAAGCGCAAGCAACUAGUCGAGGGAUUCACACAACGACGUCACAACACCUGAGGUAUUCAUGAAAACAUUUCACAUAAGUCACCCCUCGAAAGGCUAGUGUGAUAAAAUACACACUGCUUACUUCGAUGGAUCAGAAAUCAUUUUUCCAAUUAUCACAUAUCAAGUCACGAAAACACUUUAAUCAAGUAAGCUAGGCAAGCAAUCUAGCAAGCUAGGCAUGUAUCGAGUUCAUAUGUUCAUUUGAUAUGGUUAAUCAUUUAACUAAUUCAUGUCGAUGUGCACUGCAAGUAUACAUUAUUUAUAUAGGCAUGAGCAUUGUAAAUACUUAACACAUAGUACUUAGCACUUAAUAAUCAUGAAUAAUCAUGUCCUAGACUUAUUAAAUUACGUAUUCCUUUGGAAAGCUUGAUACCGUUGGGAACUUCUUCAAAAGCACUAAAAGUUCCUAGAAGAUACUUUUCCAUGAUUCCAAACGGAAGGUAUUCAAAAAUUGACUCAAGGUUGCUGCUUUGGACCAUUAAGACAGUUUCGGGGUUGGUUUUUGACCAACUUUGAAAAUCCGGCAAAAUUCACACAAUACGAACUAGCCUCCGAAAUUUAGAACUCAAUUAGAGCUACAAUCAAAGUUUAAAAUGAAACAAAUGGAACAAGAAUCAAAGUUUUGAGCGCCAAGAUAUAGUAGCUCAAAGUUGGUAACUUGCAUUACCAAGACAAAUUUAAGUUGGUUUUUGGCCAACUUUGGAAAUUCGGCAAAAUUCAUUUGUUUUGAACUAACCUUUGAAAUUUGGAAAUUAAUUAGUGUUGCAAUCCAAGAGUAUAACAAAAUAAGCGGAAUGAGAAACGGAGUUUCGAGCACCAGGAUAUGGUAAUUCAAAAUUAGUGAAAAUGUGAAACUGUUACGUAAAUUCCAGGUUUAAUUCACAACUUUGGGACUUUGAUUGAACAUUGAAAUGGACUCGGAAUGGCAUCAAAUUUGGCAGUAUUAUCCUACCAUAUAAGGGCUAUUUCUCUACCAAAUUUCGUAGGAAAAUUCAUUCGUAAAGUUGGUUAACGAAAUCACUAAAGUCCCAAGAAGUUCCUCGGCAAAUCUGCCUUGGACUUCCAUUUUUCCAUUUUCAAAAUGUUUGGCCAAUAAAACACCUCAAACACGGUUCAUUUCAGUAGAUAAUGUCUAAGGUACAUUUGAUAGGUGAUUUAUACCAAGAAGCUUCAGAAAACAAGUCCCAAAUCAUUGUUAGUUACAAAUCUGUCCAAGAGGAAAAUUCUAUCACUGUAGCAGUUUCAAACAUUGGCCACAACUCACUCAAUUUAACUUGGAAUUGGGCGUGGUUAAUGGCGUUGGAAAGCUCUCUCAUAAAUCUAAAUUUUCUCAGAAGAAACCAUUUUCAAAUUCCAUUCAGAAACAGCUCGUUUUUGAGCAUCAAGAAACAAUUUCUGUCCUGUCUCCUGGAGAGCAACGAAACAGGACAGUGAUUUUCAAUCGAAUGGUGUGGCUCACUCAAGUGGAACCAGAAUGUAAAAUUGGUACCAAUGGAAAGCUGGGAAUGUCUAGUUUCCAGUGCCAUAAACGGCACUUGAUUUUGACAUUGGAGCAAAGAGUUAUGGUCGAUACAAAAUGACUGCCUGGCCAAUACGGGAUUCAUUUUCCAGUUUUGCUGACUUUGGAAAUCAACUCAUUUGACCAACCAAAUCAUGUUAUUUUUCGAUGCAAUUUUGUACACACUCACAAUAACAUGUAAAAAACAUAAUCAAGUCAUUAGAACCUCAAAAUGUUGCACAAAAAUGGUCGGACAAGGCAGGGGUAAAACGGUCACUUUUUACUCCAUGCACUCCUUGAAGUUUCUACUAGUUAUACACCAUUAAUCUACCAUUUUGAGCACUAAACCAACAUUAAAUCCAUCAUCAAGCAUGAUAUCAGUCCCCAAGACAAAGGUGGGAGUUCAUAGAGCCCACCCAUUUCAUUUUACACCAUAAACAAAGCUACCCACAUGAUUAUAUAACCGUAUAUGUGCAAUAUAUCUUACAAAAACUAAGAUCUAUGGGUUGGAUGAUUUGCUACCUUCUUAGAUGACUAGAUCAGAAAUUUUUGGUCACUUUGAGCCUCAAGAAAACCGUGGAAAUGAAGCUCCUCUCCUUGCCUAGAUGAAUCUCCAAGUUGUUGUGAGUUUGUG
rnacentral:lncRNA from 1 species